UGCCUUUUGGUUUGUAGUAUGCUAAUUAUUUCACUAAUAUUUUCCUAUAGAGGUAGCAUUUGAUUGGCUCUUUUGUGUUUAGUUGAUUCUCCUUUGUUACUUGUUGGUACAGUCAUCAACUGUGACUUUCUUCCGCCAUGCAGGUUAGUGUGGAUGGUCUAGUUUGAUGCACAAUUUCCAAUGAUCAAUCUGUCAAGUUAUAUGAUGUCGUCAAUUAUGACAUGAUGGUCAUGAUUCGGCUACCAUUCAUCCCUGAUAGUAUUGAGUGGGUAUAUAAACAAGGCGAUGUUAGAGCUAGGCUUGCCAUCAGUGGUCUAAACUCCUCGUUUGUAUACAUAAUAUAUAUGAUGCAAGAGCGGGUUCAAAUGAACCUAUCAUCUCAAAAGAGAGAUGCUUGGGGCCAAUUAAAGUUAUGAAAUACAACCCUGUAUUUGACACUAUGAUAUCUGCUGAUUCAAAGGGAAUCAUUGAAUAUUGGAGUCCUGCAACACUUCAGUUUCCAAAGAUUGAGUAUGUCUUUAUUCUUUCAUGCUCUUCUGUAGUUUUCUUUGAGUCCUAUGUGCCUAACAUCUUGCUUGGAGUAUUGUUGACUCUUUCCAUGUUGAGAACUUUAUUUUUGGGUGCAUGUAUGUGUUUUUUAGUUUCUUCUGAUUGCCAUGAAUGCCUAACAAUACUCUCAUUUAUCUGAUACAUACAGUGCAAGUUUUAGACUGAAAAGUGACACCAAUCUAUUUGAAAUUGUGAAAUGCAAGACAAGCAUUUCCACUAUUGAGGUAAUAUACUGGUGUGAACUAUGCUUGACACAGAUGCACCAUUAUCAAUACUUUUUUUUUUUGAAUGGCUUAAUCUUUUAAUUGGGUCAUUGUUAAAAGCUUGAUUUGAAAGACAGCAGGAUAAAAGAACCUUAUAAAUGUACUGCUCCUAAUUUUAGUUGGUUAAAAUUUUCAUAUUAGGGUCUCGUCCUUUACUUGGCAAAAGAAAAGAUGGUUAUUCAUGUAAAGAUGUCCCGAAUUCUCGUUGUCCCACAUUAAUAGUGUUUAUUUUUCUUCCUUCCCUAUGGCUGAAUGCCUAGGAUGGUAACAUCACACUUUGUGGCACGUAGUUGUAUAGAGUAUAGUGGCCUAUUUCAUUUCCACAUUGGCUUGGAUGACUGCUUGUUGCUUAAACAAUGACAAGAUUUGGUAGGAUAUUUUUAUUGGUGAUUAUAUGUUCACAAAUUUAGAAUGCGGCUGGCAAGUUACUAUGUUGCUUUUAAACUUCAGUGGUUUGCUAUGUUUUUGUUAUUCUAUAAAUGAAUUCCAUGUGUAUGAACAACUAAGUGGAUGUUCAUCUCUACACUUUAAGACAUGACAGCCCUUUCACGGUGUCAAUGGCCAAUGCUGGCCCUAACACCAAUGGCUAUCAGUUCUUUAUCACCACAGUGGCCACACCAUGGUUGGACAAUAAGCACACUGUUUUUGGUAGAGUUGUAAGGGGAAUGGAUGUUGUCCAGGUAAUGUUGAAUCCUUUUUUAUCCUCCUACUAUCCACAAGUAAUCUUUCUUCUCUGCUCUUGCAUGGUUGUGUCAUUUGUGUGAGAGAGAGAAAGAGGAGGGAGUUGGAAAUCAUACGUAUGCAUCAUAUCUUAUGCGAGGUAACUCCAUGUGCAUGGUGUUACAUCACACUUAGUGUACGUCUCAAAUUGCACCUUUUUAAUAAGCUUUCAGGCAUAUAUGUAUUACAGAGCCUUGAUAAGUAGAUAAAAUAAGCACAUCCUUACUUCACCUGGUAUUAGACAUGUUUUAUUUUCCUGUAACUUAUUAAAUAUAUUAUUCUGCAUUUGGAAUUCACACACAACUUUGGCAGGCAAUUGAGAAGGUGAAGACAGACAAGGCAGACAAGCCGUACCAAGAUGUAAAAAUCCUGAAUGUGACUGUUCCCAAGUCUUAGCAGAUUCACCCUUAAAAAGGUGAAUCUGUCUUGAUAUUGUUGGCGGCAUGGCUAAGAAUUACCUGCCAAGUAUUUUUUAUUCUGUAGUCUGAGAUUUUGUCCUCGGAAGCGGUCUUGCCCCUCUUAACCCUCCUCCACAUUUAUAUGAUGAUGUAUGAGUAGCUCCUGUACGCAAGCGGUGGUCUGACCUUUAUGAUAUUGUUAAUGAAUAUCCAUUUUAUAAAAUGUACUUCAUAGUAUUUUCACUCAAUUGAUUGCCUUAAUGUAUGUUUCUUCUAUGGUAAACAAUUUUGAAGAGAAAAAACAUUCUUGGCUC